rnacentral:rRNA from 1 species
GACGAACGCUGGCGGCGUGCUUAACACAUGCAAGUCGAACGAUGAAGCGGUGCUUGCACCGUGGAUUAGUGGCGAACGGGUGAGUAAUACGUGAGUGACCUACCUUUGACUCUGGGAUAAGCCUGGGAAACUGGGUCUAAUACCGGAUACGACCAAUCUCUGCAUGGGGUGUUGGUGGAAAGCGUUAUGGAGUGGUUUUAGAUGGGCUCACGGCCUAUCAGCUUGUUGGUGAGGUAAUGGCUUACCAAGGCGACGACGGGUAGCCGGCCUGAGAGGGUGACCGGCCACACUGGGACUGAGACACGGCCCAGACUCCUACGGGAGGCAGCAGUGGGGAAUAUUGCACAAUGGGCGCAAGCCUGAUGCAGCGACGCCGCGUGAGGGAUGACGGCCUUUCGGGUUGUAAACCUCUGUUAGCAUCGAAGAAGCGAAAGUGACGGUAGUGCAGAGAAGCCCCGCUAACUAC